GACGAACGCUGGCGGCGUGCUUAACACAUGCAAGUCGAACGAGAGGAGAAGGAAGCUUGCUUCUUUCGAAUCUAGUGGCAAACGGGUGAGUAACACGUAAACAACCUGCCUUCAGGAUGGGGACAACAGACGGAAACGACUGCUAAAUACCGAAUACGUUCCUUAGGUCGCAUGACUUUAGGAAGAAAGGGUGGCCUCACUUGUAAGCUAUCGCCUGAAGAGGGGUUUGCGUCUGAUUAGGUAGUUGGUGAGGUAACGGCCCACCAAGCCGACGAUCAGUAGCCGGUCUGAGAGGAUGAACGGCCACAUUGGGACUGAGAUAGGCCCAGACUCCUACGGGAGGC
rnacentral:rRNA from 1 species